GAAAAUGAGAGUUUGAUCCUGGCUCAGGACGAACGCUGGCGGCGUGCCUAAUACAUGCAAGUCGAGCGAGCUUGCCUAGAUGAAUUUGGUGCUUGCACCAGAUGAAACUAGAUACAAGCGAGCGGCGGACGGGUGAGUAACACGUGGGUAACCUGCCCAAGAGACUGGGAUAACACCUGGAAACAGAUGCUAAUACCGGAUAACAACACUAGACGCAUGUCUAGAGUUUAAAAGAUGGUUCUGCUAUCACUCUUGGAUGGACCUGCGGUGCAUUAGCUAGUUGGUAAGGUAACGGCUUACCAAGGCAAUGAUGCAUAGCCGAGUUGAGAGACUGAUCGGCCACAUUGGGACUGAGACACGGCCCAAACUCCUACGGGAGGCAGCAGUAGGGAAUCUUCCACAAUGGACGCAAGUCUGAUGGAGCAACGCCGCGUGAGUGAAGAAGGGUUUCGGCUCGUAAAGCUCUGUUGGUAGUGAAGAAAGAUAGAGGUAGUAACUGGCCUUUAUUUGACGGUAAUUACUUAGAAAGUCACGGCUAACUACGUGCCAGCAGCCGCGGUAAUACGUAGGUGGCAAGCGUUGUCCGGAUUUAUUGGGCGUAAAGCGAGUGCAGGCGGUUCAAUAAGUCUGAUGUGAAAGCCUUCGGCUCAACCGGAGAAUUGCAUCAGAAACUGUUGAACUUGAGUGCAGAAGAGGAGAGUGGAACUCCAUGUGUAGCGGUGGAAUGCGUAGAUAUAUGGAAGAACACCAGUGGCGAAGGCGGCUCUCUGGUCUGCAACUGACGCUGAGGCUCGAAAGCAUGGGUAGCGAACAGGAUUAGAUACCCUGGUAGUCCAUGCCGUAAACGAUGAGUGCUAAGUGUUGGGAGGUUUCCGCCUCUCAGUGCUGCAGCUAACGCAUUAAGCACUCCGCCUGGGGAGUACGACCGCAAGGUUGAAACUCAAAGGAAUUGACGGGGGCCCGCACAAGCGGUGGAGCAUGUGGUUUAAUUC
rnacentral:rRNA from 1 species